CCCAGAUAAGCGAGGAGUCUCAGAGCAGUGAGUGAGUGAGCGAAUCAGCGCGGCGCUCGUGUUUCACGCCCGCCUGUGAACACCAAACCCGGCACGGAGAAACGGACCGGUGUGAACACGCCCUAAAUGUCGUGACUCGUUUAAGCACUGGAAGUUAUCACGCCGCUUUACCCAUGAUGCAGAGCGAGAGAAUCGGACAGACCCUGAUGUAGCUGUAACGAGGACGAGGUUCUACGCCCUGCGAGGGUUCAUGAUCGGAGAGGAAGGCUCGGUUCUGACCCGGGCCGGUCCACUCGUCCUGACUCGCUGCUCUACAGAGAUCCUGCACUCUGAAUAAACACGCCGGAAAUCAACAGAAAUAACAACACAGGAGAUAUAAAUAAAAACAUUCUCUAAACCCAUUCGAAUGUUCAGUUAUUAGCGGCGAACGACUGAACAAUUAGAACUGUAAAGGAACCGUUUGGAUAAAGAUGAAACCCAGCAGCGUUUGAGGUCGUGUUUCCUCCCAAACCACCCCGAGUGGCCAUGUGCCGAUAUCUCACUUCGCUCCACUUCACUGCGUUCUGCAGAAGAUAUAAAGCUGUUCCUCUGCUAGAUUUACAGACUCAGAGCAGGAUUCUGUCUAUGAAAGGAAGAGACAGUGUGAAUAUAAUAAUGAUGAUAACAGUAAUAAGCGGAGGAACGUGCAGGACACGAGGGCACCCCCGUGUGUGUGUGUGUGUGCGUGUGUGUGUGCGUGUAUGUGCGUGUGCGUGUGUGUUUCUGUCUCUCGGCUGAAGCGUAUGGUUCUGCUGGAAGACGUGUGCAGCUGUUCUGAUGGUUUGUGUCAGCGUGUAGAUCAUCAGCCUGAGAAGAACGAGAGGAGAACAGUGAUGUAGAAACGCCGCCGAGCUCCGGGAGAAGAAUUCAUCACCGUCAUCAUCACCAUCAUAAUCGUCAUCAUUAUUGUAACGCCAGGACAAUUUGUUC
ensembl:lncRNA